CUGUGAACUGGCAUUGAGACUUAUAGUUCAUUUGACUUCUGUUUUGUUAUGACAUGACAAAUAAUGUCUCCACUUUAUGUCCGUGACCUAAUCCUUGAUUAUGUAACAUGUAAGCAGGAUUGAAUUUUGGGCCUUAGCCAUGGUUCAGGGAAACUCUUAAUUACAUUUACAAUACCAUAUAAUUUCUCAGAUUUUUUCCAUUUGCAAUUAGCAUCACACUGUAU